rnacentral:rRNA from 1 species
ACUCCUGCGGGAGGCAGCAGUGGGGAAUUUUGGACAAUGGGCGAAAGCCUGAUCCAGCAAUGCCGCGUGUGUGAAGAAGGCCUUCGGGUUGUAAAGCACUUUUGUCCGGAAAGAAAUCCUUGGCUCUAAUACAGUCGGGGGAUGACGGUACCGGAAGAAUAAGCACCGGCUAACUACGUGCCAGCAGCCGCGGUAAUACGUAGGGUGCGAGCGUUAAUCGGAAUUACUGGGCGUAAAGCGUGCGCAGGCGGUUUGCUAAGACCGAUGUGAAAUCCCCGGGCUCAACCUGGGAACUGCAUUGGUGACUGGCAGGCUAGAGUAUGGCAGAGGGGGGUAGAAUUCCACGUGUAGCAGUGAAAUGCGUAGAGAUGUGGAGGAAUACCGAUGGCGAAGGCAGCCCCCUGGGCCAAUACUGACGCUCAUGCACGAAAGCGUGGGGAGCAAACAGGAUUAGAAACCCUAGUAGUCCCAUGAU